UUUGAGUGGUUGACUUUGCAGGCCCGGGGCUCGAGGGGCGUCGGGGCCAGGGAAGCUUUCAAUACCGCUCUCUGACACACGCCCUCCUGCUCUGGGACCCGCCACUGUGCACGUCUCCGG
rnacentral:precursor_RNA from 8 species